AUGUGGCGAAAAAAGACUGAUUCAACGAAAUAUGACAUGCCAGCAUUAAGAUUCAAAACAUGUCGUCUACUUACAGGAAAUGUUCGGAACAGGGAACUUUCUCUAAUCCAACGCCGUAUUCUCCGAAGAUUGAGGAACAAGAGGAGAUCCAUCAAAAGAAAUCUUUCUCGGAGAAAAAAUCUAAACGGUAACAUCAAAUCACAAACUACACAAAAGUUAUGCACAGGGGAAGAGAACGAACUUCAUAUAUAUAUAUAUAUCCCUAUCUUACUCAAUCAAGAAACAAGAUCGGACGUGAUUCCGGUUCAUCUCCAUUUUAGUGACACUCUUCCUCAAGCAAGGCAGCCGAUAAGUCCUCGAAGGGUUUGUUUGAAUAAUGGACUGGUAACCAUUGCUCAUUUGAAAGUUUCCCACGGUGAUCUAAUAUCUUUUAAAGAAAAUGACGCGAGAACCCGCGGUUUUGAAAUAAGGAGAUCUUUCUAUAUGGACAUAUCAGUUGGAAAAAUCAUAGGCAAAUUCCUAUCGGACAUAUCAGUUGGAAAAAGAAGAGGCAAAUUCCUACCGGCCAGAAUCUGGAGAAGAACAAAAAAUGAAUGGUUCCGCUUACUCACAACUCAGAGGGGAUGCCACUUACUACUCAAAUCCAAGGAAUUGCAGAAGUUGCGUUCUUAUAUGCAAGAAGAAGACUUUGAAAGAACAAAGAAGUUUGGAUCCGCAAAAGUAUGCUUAGGCAGUUCCUUCGGUGAGCACAACAGAAUGAAGAGGAAUUUGUUUCAUUUCAAAUACUUCUUCUUAUUGAAAAGAGGGAAGGAGAAAAACCGAAAUCUUCCUACUCGAACAAUAAGUCCUUUUGUAGAAAAGUCUUCUUUAUAUAGUAAUUCGACCUAUUGCUCCGGAUCCCCGUUUACUAGGAAGAUAAGAAUCAAGAGGAUCGAACUACCUACUCAUUAUUCGGAGGUGAAUCAUAGAACACUAAAAGCUGUGGUAUCUUAUGGACCUAACAUAGGUCACAUCCCUCAUGACAUAAGAUUGAAAGAUCCAAACCUUCCACUUCGAAGCGGAAACGGACGUGGCCAAAACAUAUAA
rnacentral:rRNA from 1 species